rnacentral:tRNA from 1 species
AUUCAGCAUCAACAGGUUAGCGCGUCUGACUGUUAAUCAGGAGGUUGGAAGUUCGAGCCUUCCCAGGGACG